rnacentral:rRNA from 1 species
UACGGAGGGUGCAAGCGUUAUCCGGAUUCACUGGGUUUAAAGGGUGCGUAGGUGGGUUGGUAAGUCAGUGGUGAAAUCUCCGAGCUUAACUUGGAAACUGCCAUUGAUACUAUCAGUCUUGAAUAUUGUGGAGGUCAGCGGAAUAUGUCAUGUAGCGGUGAAACGCUUAGAUAUGACAUAGAACACCAAUUGCGAAGGCAGCUGGCUACACAUAUAUUGACACUGAGGCACGAAAGCGUGGGGAUCAAACAGG